GACGAACCGUGCGAACGUUAUUCGGAAUCACUGGGCUUAAAGCGCGUGUAGGCGGGCCAUCACGUCGGUCGCUGAAAGCCCCCGGCUCAACCGGGGAACCGGCGCCGAUACGAGUGGCCUGGAGGGGGGUAGGGGGACCUGGAACUUCCGGUGGAGCGGUGAAAUGCGUUGAGAUCGGAAGGAACGCCCGUGGCGAAAGCGAGGUCCUGGACCCCAUCUGACGCUGAGACGCGAAAGCCAGGGGAGCGAACGGG
rnacentral:rRNA from 1 species